GUGAGGAGAGCAGAGAAGAAGGUGUAGUUGAGGAGAGGGAGAUGCGGAGGUAGGGGUGAGGAGAGCAGAGAAGAAGGUGUAGUUGAGGAGAGGGAGAGGCAGAGGUAGGGGUGAGGAGAGCAGAGAAGAAGGUGUAGUUGAGGAGAGGGAGAGGCAGAGGUAGGGGUGAGGAGAGCAGAGAAGAAGGUGUAGUUGAGGAGAGGGAGAGGCAGAGGCAGGGGUGAGGACAGCAGAGAAGGUGUAGUUGAGGAGAGGGAGAUGCGGAGGUAGGGGUGAGGAGAGCAGAGAAGAAGGUGUAGUUGAGGAGAGGGAGAUGCGGAGGUAGGGGUGAGGAGAGCAGAGAAGAAGGUGUAGUUGAGGAGAGGGAGAGGCAGAGGUAGGGGUGAGGAGAGCAGAGAAGAAGGUGUAGUUGAGGAGAGGGAGAGGCAGAGGUAGGGGUGAGGAGAAGCAGAGAAGAAGGUGUAGUUGAGGAGAGGGAGAGGCAGAGGUAGGGGUGAGGAGAGCAGAGAAGAAGGUGUAGUUGAGGAGAGGGAGAGGCAGAGGUAGGGGUGAGGAGAGCAGAGAAGAAGGUGUAGUUGAGGAGAGGGAGAUGCGGAGGUAGGGGUGAGGAGAGCAGAGAAGAAGGUGUAGUUGAGGAGAGGGAGAUGCGGAGGUAGGGGUGAGGAGAAGCAGAGAAGAAGGUGUAGUUGAGGAGAGGGAGAGGCAGAGGUAGGGGUGAGGAGAGCAGAGAAGAAGGUGUAGUUGAGGAGAGGGAGAUGCGGAGGUAGGGGUGAGGAGAGCAGAGAAGAAGGUGUAGUUGAGGAGAGGGAGAUGCGGAGGUAGGGGUGAGGAGAAGCAGAGAAGAAGGUGUAGUUGAGGAGAGGGAGAGGCAGAGGUAGGGGUGAGGAGAGCAGAGAAGAAGGUGUAGUUGAGGAGAGGGAGAGGCAGAGGUAGGGGUGAGGACAGCAGAGAAGAAGGUGUAGUUGAGGAGAGGGAGAGGCGGAGGUAGGGGUGAGGAGAGCAGAGAAGAAGGUGUAGUUGAGGAGAGGGAGAUGCGGAGGUAGGGGUGAGGAGAGCAGAGAAGAAGGUGUAGUUGAGGAGAGGGAGAUGCGGAGGUAGGGGUGAGGAGAGCAGAGAAGAAGGUGUAGUUGAGGAGAGGGAGAGGCAGAGGUAGGGGUGAGGACAGCAGAGAAGAAGGUGUAGUUGAGGAGAGGGAGAGGCGGAGGUAGGGGUGAGGAGAGCAGAGAAGAAGGUGUAGUUGAGGAGAGGGAGAUGCGGAGGUAGGGGUGAGGAGAGCAGAGAAGAAGGUGUAGUUGAGGAGAGGGAGAUGCAGAGGUAGGGGUGAGGAGAGCAGAGAAGAAGGUGUAGUUGAGGAGAGGGAGAUGCGGAGGUAGGGGUGAGGAGAAGCAGAGAAGAAGGUGUAGUUGAGGAGAGGGAGAUGCGGAGGUAGGGGUGAGGACAGCAGAGAAGAAGGUGUAGUUGAGGAGAGGGAGAUGCGGAGGUAGGGGUGAGGAGAGCAGAGAAGAAGGUGUAGUUGAGGAGAGGGAGAUGCGGAGGUAGGGGUGAGGAGAGCAGAGAAGAAGGUGUAGUUGAGGAGAGGGAGAUGCGGAGGUAGGGGUGAGGACAGCAGAGAAGAAGGUGUAGUUGAGGAGAGGGAGAUGCGGAGGUAGGGGUGAGGAGAGCAGAGAAGAAGGUGUAGUUGAGGAGAGGGAGAUGCGGAGGUAGGGGUGAGGAGAGCAGAGAAGAAGGUGUAGUUGAGGAGAGGGAGAUGCGGAGGUAGGGGUGAGGAGAGCAGAGAAGAAGGUGUAGUUGAGGAGAGGGAGAUGCGGAGGUAGGGGUGAGGAGAGCAGAGAAGAAGGUGUAGUUGAGGAGAGGGAGAUGCGGAGGUAGGGGUGAGGAGAGCAGAGAAGAAGGUGUAGUUGAGGAGAGGGAGAUGCGGAGGUAGGGGUGAGGAGAAGCAGAGAAGAAGGUGCAGUUGAGGAGAGGGAGAUGCGGAGGUAGGGGUGAGGAGAGCAGAGAAGAAGGUGUAGUUGAGGAGAGGGAGAUGCGGAGGUAGGGGUGAGGAGAGCAGAGAAGAAGGUGUAGUUGAGGAGAGGGAGAUGCGGAGGUAGGGGUGAGGAGAAGCAGAGAAGAAGGUGUAGUUGAGGAGAGGGAGAUGCGGAGGUAGGGGUGAGGAGAGCAGAGAAGAAGGUGUAGUUGAGGAGAGGGAGAUGCGGAGGUAGGGGUGAGGAGAGCAGAGAAGAAGGUGUAGUUGAGGAGAGGGAGAUGCGGAGGUAGGGGUGAGGAGAAGCAGAGAAGAAGGUGUAGUUGAGGAGAGGGAGAUGCGGAGGUAGGGGUGAGGACAGCAGAGAAGAAGGUGUAGUUGAGGAGAGGGAGAUGCGGAGGUAGGGGUGAGGAGAGCAGAGAAGAAGGUGUAGUUGAGGAGAGGGAGAUGCGGAGGUAGGGGUGAGGAGAGCAGAGAAGAAGGUGUAGUUGAGGAGAGGGAGAUGCGGAGGUAGGGGUGAGGACAGCAGAGAAGAAGGUGUAGUUGAGGAGAGGGAGAUGCGGAGGUAGGGGUGAGGAGAGCAGAGAAGAAGGUGUAGUUGAGGAGAGGGAGAUGCGGAGGUAGGGGUGAGGAGAGCAGAUGGAGCUUCUAGUAAGAUUUCCUACACAGGCAUGUCCCUGCAAUAAAACUCAGCUGAUAGACAAUGGUAUUUAAAAUAAAAUAUUUGAGCAGAUAACGGAGUCCCUUCCACCUUCAUCAAAUAACACUCAAAUGUCCUGACAGUGAACUUGUGAAAUUACAUUCAGUGACAGCAUUGGCUGCGAGUGUGAACUAUACUGUAAUUAAGUGGUGUGUCAAAUCAAAUUCUAUUUUUCACAUACACAUGGUUAGCAGAUGUUAAUGAGAGUGUAGAGAAAUUCUUGUGCUUCCAGUUCCGACAAUGCAGUAAUAACCAACGAGUAAUCUGACCUAACAAUUCCACAACUACUAGCCUAUACACAAGUGUAAAGGGAUAAAGAAUAUGUACAUAAAAAUAUAUGAAUGAGUGACGGUGCAGAAUGGCAUAGGCAAGAUGCAGUAGAUGGUAUCGAGUACAGUAUAUACAUAUGAGAUGAGUAACGUAGGGUAUGUAAACAUUAUAUUAAGUGGCAUUGUUUAAAGUGGCCAGUGAUACAUUCUUAACAUGUAUGGCAGCAGCCAGUCAAUGUUAGUGAUGGCUGUUUAACAGUCUGAUGGCCGUGAGAUAGAAGCUGUUUUUCCAGUCUCUCGGUCCCAGCUUUGAUGCACCUGUACUGACCUCGCCUUCUGGAUGAUAGCGGGGUGAACAGGCAGUGGCUCGGGUGGUUGUUGUCCUUGAUGAUCUUUAUGGCCUUCCUGUAACGUCGGGUGGUGUAGGUGUCCUGGUAGAUUGCCCCCGGUGAUGCGUUGUGCAGACCUCACUACCCUCUGGAGAGCCUUACGGUUGUGGACGGAGCAGUUGCCGUACCAGGCGGUGAUACAGCCCGACAGAAUGCUCUCAAUUGUGCAU